rnacentral:rRNA from 1 species
UACGAAGGGGGCUAGCGUUGUUCGGAAUUACUGGGCGUAAAGCGCACGUAGGCGGACAUUUAAGUCAGGGGUGAAAUCCCAGAGCUCAACUCUGGAACUGCCUUUGAUACUGGGUGUCUAGAGUAUGGAAGAGGUGAGUGGAAUUCCGAGUGUAGAGGUGAAAUUCGUAGAUAUUCGGAGGAACACCAGUGGCGAAGGCGGCUCACUGG